UUUCCUGGAAAAUACAGCGGCGGCUGCGUGUUCCAUUUUGCAAAAAAAUAAAAGAAAAAGAGAGACGUCUGGUAACAAAAAUGGCCAUCAUCGGGGGUUUUCUUGAAUACGGACCCGAGAAUAAUCGGUAAUGGUGGUUAUCGUCAGCAUUUAUUAUAAUUUCUUAGCAAUCAUGUUAACUUUAUAUUAUCCCCUUUGUUGAUAAAAAA